rnacentral:rRNA from 1 species
GAUGAACGAUGGCGGCGUGCCUAAUACAUGCAAGUCGAGCGAACAGAUGAGGAGCUUGCUCCUCUGACGUUAGCGGCGGACGGGUGAGUAACACGUGGAUAACCUACCUAUAAGACUGGGAUAACUUCGGGAAACCGGAGCUAAUACCGGAUAAUAUAUUGAACCGCAUGGUUCAAUAGUGAAAGACGGUUUUGCUGUCACUUAUAGAUGGAUCCGCGCCGCAUUAGCUAGUUGGUAAGGUAACGGCUUACCAAGGCAACGAUGCGUAGCCGACCUGAGAGGGUGAUCGGCCACACUGGAACUGAGACACGGUCCAGACUCCUACGGGAGGCAGCAGUAGGGAAUCUUCCGCAAUGGGCGAAAGCCUGACGGAGCAACGCCGCGUGAGUGAUGAAGGUCUUCGGAUCGUAAAACUCUGUUAUUAGGGAAGAACAAAUGCGUAAGUAACUAUGCACGUCUUGACGGUACCUAAUCAGAAAGCCACGGCUAACUACGUG